GUCCAGGGGAAAAAACGUACGUUUUGCGGCACGUGCAGACUCGUUGCCCUAGCAACCAAUACACAACAGCUCCGAAGAUUACGUUCAAAUGCAUCAGGAAUUAAUUAACACUAAAAAAAGCCACAAAAAAAAAAAACACAAAAACAUUUACUUUGAAUACAACGUCGCUUAAAGAAAAAAGGAUGCAGGAAAUAUUGGUGGGGACUGUCCCCUUCCCGCCAAAGUUGGUGGGGACAUGUCCACACCAGUCCUUCAGGAAGUUACGCCUCUGACUGUUUUCGAGGUAAAUAUUUUGGGUUUCCUGGCUCAAAUAUCUCACAGGUUUGCUGGAGUUCUGAUUAGUUCCUCCCAACAGAAGCAGCAUAACGCAUUACCCCUACAGCGCUUCGGGGUUCUCUGGAUGGAAUAAAGAGCAGCACAAGCCAUUCGCCAUCUACCACCAACGCAGCAUCUUCUGACAUCUGGAAACUGUUCCUGAAUUGAACCAGACUUUGGAAGCCCUUCAGGUCUCUUCCUGGUGUCGUUUUGACUUUCCAGACCUGCUUUACGGAGUGAAGUGUAGAACAAAGAGCAGGACUUUACCAGGCUACUGUCAAACAGGAAAGCAGACACAAACUGCUGGAGAACUGAACCAGCAGCUUUCUCGGCUCAGAAAAUGUUGCACCUUCACACGACAGAUCAACAUCCUCCCACAAUCCAUCCUCUCCACACUCUGAGUAGUUCCUCAGGCCUCGGGUGGAGAAUCCGUCCUCACACUGACCAGGCCGGUCUCGCUCCACGAUCCGUCCGCUCCACACACAGAGCUGUUGUCUCCCCUCCGCCACACGAAGCCUUCCUCAC